UGCCUCGGACGUGACGACACGACGAUCCCCCCAAAAAGGCCUGCCUGACUUUUGUCAUUCCGUCGCUGAACAGGAAAGGGUGGAGCUUAACUUCAACCAUAAGGAAGCAGUUUUGGUGCGGUCCAAUCAAUGGAGAACAUAGGAGGUGUCUCUGGUUUGCUGGGGCCCGUUCUUAGAGGCACAGCUGCAGGGUUUGCCUUUGCAGAAGCCAUCUCAUUUGCCCUGGAGCCAGGACUGAGUGAAGACCCCACACUCCUCCCUAUUGCUGUUCAUGCCGCCACUCGAGCUGGUUCGACUGGAGUUGGGGUCAUCACCUCCUGUCUACUAUGCACCUCAAUGCUAAUUUCUUUGGGAAGCGGGUUUCUCCUUGCAGCCGAGGUGAUGAAACUGCUAAAACAUGUUGGCAUUGAUAAACCAUGGCUUACUGCAGUCGCAACAGCGGCAUCUUUAAUAUCGGGAGCUGCCAUCACUGGAGUGUUAAUGGGAUUUCUUCCACUGGGGAUCAUCUACUAUGGAAGAAUGGGCAUCCUACUUGGACUUUUCCUAACUGGAGUGACCAUCUCUUUUCUAUGCGCUCUUCGGAAAGCCUUGACUGAAAGAAUGCUACCAAAAGCCAAAUGUGAAAUUGACUGCAAAUUACUGGAGAGGAUCUUCUUCUAUUCAGUCGUAGUGGGAAUACUUGGGUUUGGCGUGGGGUUAGGUGCAGUCGAAGUGGAUGAUAACUCUGAAGCAGAAGUGGUAAUUAUGCUGCAAUCUGUCCUUUGGGUGGCCUUUCUGUCAGCGGCCAUACUAGGUGCAGGCCUGGGGACAGUGGCCAUGGUUGGAGUGGGAACAGAGAUGGCUGGAAAAAUUGCAAUUGGGACUUCUAUCGCGUCAGCAGUUGCGCUGAGAGUCAUUGGGCAGAACAUGUUCAAUUUUGGGACAAGAAGCAGCACUGGAGGGAUGUUAGGAGUCACUGCAGUUGCAGCGGUAUCACUUGGAGCUGCUAGUGUCGCAGCUAAAGAAGCCUAUAAUUCCAGACAAUCAUUCUUAACAUCAAUUGCAUCAGUCGCUGUUGGAGUAAUUGCAGCCACAAAAGUUUUUAAUUCUCCUAUCAUGGGGAUAUCAGAGCUCACUACAGUCAUCCUCGCUUCCUUGGGGGCAUAUGUUCUGGGCGCACCAAAAAGCCCAUUCAACAAGAAGAUAAAUCUCCGCCAGGGACCUCUCACUGGAGAGGUGCUAAUUAAAGGAAUUGGCAUGGAAACGGUAACCGCGGCAGCAGCACCGAUUGGAGCUGGGGCCCUGGGAGUGGCAGUGAUGGGUACAGCAGCUCUGGGGAAGCUCGGGACUGUGGGAGUGCUGGUGGCUAUCACACUGGCUUUGGGAAGCACUCUGUCUGGUAUGUUAGGGAGAUCACUAGCGGUACGAGCAGAAAAUAACCAUGAAAACUGAAUGACCUGACACGUGCUCAAAUCAUUUUGUUUUAGCUUCAUGUGGAGCCACAUUGAUUUGCCUGUGUGCAAUGAUUGAAUGAAUGAUUGCGAUGAUUUAACCGGGCUCCAGACUGACACCUAAAAACUAAACAUGUAACUAGAGCUAAGUGUAGAUUUUGUUUCUACGAGGGAGCAACAGCCUAAAAUAUUACUGCAGGCUUUAUUUUUCCUACUAGGCUCACUGUCAAAUUAUAUGUACUUUUAUGUCAAAUAUGUGGUGACAGACAAUGAACUGAAAUGGCAAACAGCAUAGACGGUUAUUGUAAUGUAUUGUCGAAGUAUUGGCAUUGAGACCUGUUUUGAGGAUGCUUUCUAAAUGAUGUCCCGAUGCCCCUAAAUAAAAACACUGUUGAUGCACAAGUGCAAACAAACCAAAAUGUUAGUCUGGAGCCCUGCUCGAUAAUAACUGUGUGUUGAAAAUAUACCAAAGAUUACUUUUUUAUAUUACAAACAAUGAAAGAGGAAGCCACAAUUAAUAUGUUAGUCGUAGUCCAAACUCAUUCCUAUUUUUUCGAACGUAUUUGUAAUAUCCCCAUUCUUCACAGGGGACGGGUUUAUUGGCACAUUUCACAACUUGCAGGUCAUUCUUCAGAGUCAUUGUCACAGAAAUGCUAGAAAACUAGCCUGAGAGUUUAUGAAAUUGACACAACAAAUGCUUUGUAAUUAGAUGGACAGUGUUUUUCCCACAAAUGUCUGAGUUUAUAAUACUAAAGCAGGACAAAACAAAAUUGGUUCCACUACUAGAGAAAAAAGUCAGGUAUAGGGCCUUUUAAUUUAUGUGUUUUUUUUAAUUUUCUCACACUUAAUGCAUUCCUAUCUUCCUAAUUUAAUUGUCCCUACAUUGUACAUUGUAAAGACAACUUCUCAAAUGUCCAUGUAAUACAGUAAUACCAAAAAGUGUCUUAAUUUGGCUGUAAUCUGUAUUAUAUGUAAUAGCAUAUUUUUCCGAUUGCUGUAUGCUGCCCGCCUUGCUGAAUAAAUUGUGUUUGCAGUAAGUGGUUCUGAUGCUACUGUAUGUCCUCUCACCUCCUGGUGCAUCGUUUGCCACUUUUCCCAAGAUGUGAGUGCAAGGUUACUUUGGUUUCAUCUUAGCAACAGUAACAGAGACAGGAGAGACAGGGGAGGAGUGGGAGGAGAGCUGAGCCAUAACACCAAGUGACAGGAGAGAUGCAUGUUGAUUAUACUGGCGCAAUUGUACACAUAUUUAAGUUAAUGGUUGAUAUAAGGCAGUAGGUAUGGGCCUAUAUUUGUGGAAAUCGAUUUUGGAGAAUUGGAAACAGCACAUUUUAGUUGAAACCCUGCUUUGCAUGUUUUUUAUAUUUUAGGGUAAAAUGUAAUAGCCAGUCGAGUGGAAUUGCUGUGUUAAAAACGCUGCACCUUUUUUUGGAAAAUGUCACAUUUUUGAAGAUGGAGCUCAAGAGGAAUUAAUUUUGUACAAAGUGAUGUAAAGCAGUAUUACAGCCUUGCAAAGGAGGAUUACUUACUUGAAGGCACAAUGGC
ensembl:lncRNA